CAGAGUUUGAUCCUGGCUCAGGACGAACGCUGGCGGCGUACUUAACACAUGCAAGUCGAACGUGAUUUNUGUGGAAAUUCUUUCGGGAAUGGAAAUGAAAUGAAAGUGGCGAACGGGUGAGUAACACGUGAGCAACCUACCUUACACAGUGGGAUAGCCGUUGGAAACGACGAUUAAUACCGCAUGAGACCACAGAAUCGCAUGAUAUAGGGGUCAAAGAUUUAUCGGUGUAAGAAGGGCUCGCGUCUGAUUAGCUAGUUGGAAGGGUAAAGGCCUACCAAGGCGACGAUCAGUAGCCGGUCUGAGAGGAUGAACGGCCACAU
rnacentral:rRNA from 1 species